UACGUAGGGGGCAAGCGUUGUCCGGAAUCAUUGGGCGUAAAGGGCGCGUAGGCGGCCGCCUAAGUCAGACGUGAAAUCCCUCGGCUCAACCGGGGAACUGCGUCUGAUACUGGGUGGCUUGAAUUCGGGAGAGGGAUGCGGAAUUCCAGGUGUAGCGGUGAAAUGCGUAGAUAUCUGGAGGAACACCGGUGGCGAAGGCGGCAUCCUGGACCGAGAUUGACGCUGAGGCGCGAAAGCCAGGGGAGCAAACGGG
rnacentral:rRNA from 1 species